AGAGUACAUGUCAGAUCGUUAAUUGUGAAUAUAGGUGUAAUAUAGUCAACUUGUUGUGAGAUAUAGCAGGCUUUGCUUGUAUCCAUUUUGGAAAACAAGUGGUGGACAUCCUCAAUGGGAUUUAGUCAUCUGAAUGUCUGUUUCUUGAGUCAUGGUACUUAAAAUUUGCAAUCAUUUGGUGGAAUACUGAAAUGCAUCUCUUACUGAAGAUCUUCAGUUGCCUAUGUAUUGGAGCCGUAGUCUGUUUUGCUCGAAGUAAACUAACUUGCUUUGUGUUCUUUUGGUACUUUGUACAGGCAAGGACAAGAUUAAGUGAUCUUUGCUUGCUGAUGAUUAUGGAAUUUCCAGACUGAUCCCAAACUGUGUAGUUGAAGUAUGUAAAGUGAGUAGAGUGACUGUCUUGUGACUGCUGAUUAAGAUAUUUGCUGCAUGAUCAGAUGUUUACAUCUGACUUACUAGGAUGAAUUGUUGAGGAGGUGUAUCUUCCUGAUCAGAUGGCCACAGCUAACUUAUUUGGUGGUUUAUCGAUUAUGCUGCUCUAGAUUAUCAGGCGUUAAAUCUUGUUCUAAUCUUUUGUCUACACGUAAUCACCCACAAACAAAACUUGAUAACAUGAGAAUGGCCAAGGUCUACAUUUGUUCAGCACCCAUCACUCAGGAUGUCGUUCCUGAUGUAUUACAGGGAGAAAUGACCAGCGUUUCUCAGUCAUCCAGAGUCGUCCAAAGCCCAGCAGUUGUUGGCAUUAUGCCUUAAACAAGGGGGAGAGGUCGAACCUCUUAAACAGAAACAAAACAUGGAGUUGCAGCCCCUAUAAUAUCUGCUCUAAGCAAUUCCCUGAGCUCAUGUGGCGGUUCUGUGAUGAUCUGCAUCCCAGGAUCCUUGUUGACACUGGUUUUGGCCAGCCAAUCUGCACAUUUAUUUCCUUCUCUCCAAAUGUGUUGUAGCCGGCACUCCCAAUCCCUGUUUCCAUAAUUCCUAAUCUGACAUAUCAGAUUGUGGAAAGGUGAAUCCUGUCCUGCUCCUUGGAUUAGGUCCAGUGCUGCCUUCGAAUCCGUUUCCAGGAUCACUCUCCUUUCUCCUGAGCUCCACGCCAUUUCCAUCCCUUUUGAGUACUCCCCAUCGCUCUACUGUCGUAUUGUCUGUUAGCCCAAUAUUCACUGCGAAGCCAGCUUUCCAUCUUUCCCAGCAUUAUGCCUUUCGUUGGCUUAGUCUCUAACCAAAUUCUCAUAUUCAUCUCCUAUUUUCCAACCAGCUCUGGGGACAAGGUUAUUGCGCUGAACUGAAUUCCCCAUGAGAAAGAAGUACCAGAUGAUUUCCGGUAAGUUCUCAAGUGUAUUUUGCAAAUGAGCUUCUUUAUCAAGACGCAAACAGCCUUGGUUGCCUGCCUAAACCGUCUCGCUGGAAUGAGAUCAUUACAUUUUUUUUCGGAUCACUGCAUACCUUGACUAAGGCUAAUCACUAGUUGUAAGUUGUAACUGCAUAAUCAUGAGUGUCGUGAAGAGGAUCGGCUUAAAGCAGCAAAAGAAGUGGGCCACAAUGAAAUGUUAAUUGGGUACUGCGCAGCAUUAAAAAUAUGAAAAAUCGUUCAACAUGUCAUUCACUUUUGAAAUGUUAAUCUUACACCUCUUGUAGAUUUAAAUUUGCAAAAUUUGGCCUCAACUUAAGUUUUCAACUAAUUUUUAAUAGGGUUAUUAUCACUUUAUCCCCUUAAACUAUAUCACUACUAUCAGUUUACCCCAUAACGUUAUUUUUUAAUCACUUUACCCCCAUAAGUAAUUCAACUCAACAUGUUAAGAAAUUUUGGACAAAAUACCCUUUUAUUUUAUAGUAUUACUACAUUGUUAUUAUCGCUUUCUUCGUUUGGAUUAUAGUGAUACAAUCGCUUUAGUUCCUAACACUAUUUUCUAGACAUUUUACCUUAUUAUUAAUCUAACUAGUAUGGUCAAAAAAUUUUAAAUAUAUUUACCCUUUUUAUAUAUAAUUAAAAAUAAAAAAGGUUGGAAUGAUUAUUCUUCCUUUUUUCACUUUAAGAGAUAGAAAAAUUCUUUUUUUUUCAUACUUAUUACUACUAGGAAAAGAAAAAGAGAUAGGAAAGAAGGAGACAAAAAAUUAGAUUUUGCAAAAAAAGAAAAUAAAGAAAAGUCUAACAUUAUCGUAUUACUUUAAGGUUAUCGGGAUUAGAAUUGAAAUUUGGUGGUAAACAAAAAAGUGAAAUAAUUUUAAAAUAAUAAAAGUAUUUAAUUCUUUCUUAUUUGUAAUUUUUAAAAAAAGAAUUGAGCUCUCUCUCUCCCCCUCCCCCUCUCCAUAUUUCUAUUUUUUUUCAAUAUUAAUAAGAUUGCCAAUGAAAAAAAUUAAUAUUUUGACUUUUUUUCUUGAUACUAAAAAGAAGAAGAGUCACUCUAAAUUUUUUAUUAUUUUGAUUAUGCAAAGAGAGGGUAUUUUCUUCUAAAGUUUUUAAUUUGCUAAGUUGGUUUAAUGGUAGGAUAAAUUGUCUAAAAAAUAAUUCUAGGGUGUAAAUUGAUAAUGAGACUAUAUUUUAUGGGGGUAAAGUGAUAAUAAUUUUAAGGGUUAAACAUGUCUUUUCACUUUAAUUAAUAAACUCCAUUAAGUUUGACCAUUAGUUUUGGGGAUAAAAUGACUAAAAGAUAACGUUAAGGGGGAAAUUGAUAGUAGUACCAAACGUUAAGGAGGUAAAGUGAUAAUAACCCUUUUUAAUAUGAAAUCGCCACACAAUCAACAUGUAGUCAUUUUCUUUUAUGUAUAAAUAGGUCAAAUUCAACUUUUUUUUAGUGUAAAAAAUGAAUAUGGAUUAGGUCAAAUUUCACAUUUUUUUGGGAAAAAAAAUGAAUAUGGUUUGAGUCAGAUUCUACGUUUUAGGAACAAAAAUAAAUAUGGAUUGAAUCAUUUGUUUAACUAUAAAUGAGAUUUAACCUUUUUGUUAAAAAAAAAAAAGAUCAUAUGUGGUCACUUGAUGGAUUAAGGAUAAAUUUUAUCGACUUAAUUUUGUAGGGGAUACAAAGUUAGCAUUUAAAAGUGAAGAACGAAAAAAUUCGUUUGGCGAAAUGUAAAAAACAAAUUAUAUUUUAAACGAUUUUUCCUUAAAAAUAAAAAUAAUCUGAAUUUGUAGUCCUUUCUUUUAUUUUUUUAUUUUUUGAAGAGAGAAUUUGAAAAUUUUCCGGUGGGCUUCUUUUCUAUCUCCUUAAAGUGUUUCAGUGUGAAUUUACCUUUUUCUUGAAGGGACAUAAUAUAGGAGGACCUAUCAAAAUUCACGUUUUCAGUGUAUGUAUGUCACAAUAAAUAAAACUAGCCAGCUGAAUAUUUCUCAAGACUUUUAUGCUUUUCAUUUCAAGGGACAAUUGAUUAUUGAUCUAGGAAACAAGAAAAUCAAAAAGUAAUUGAGGAAUAUGCGAUAUUUUUCUAUAUCGUUUAGGAGGAAAUGUUGGGGUAGUCAAUUAAAAACCCUGAAAGAUUGUUAUCGUUAGGGGAAAAAAAAAAUUAAAAACCCUGAAAGAAUAAAAAACAAAACGAAAAAGUAAAAUCCGACUGGAACGUUACGACGUCGGAUUAUUCAUACAUUUCAUUUCCGUUCUCCCGUUGAACCCUACUAAAACCCUCUUCUGUGUCCAAUUUCAAGAAAUAGCCCCAACAAGGGUUUAGAAGAAGGAAGUUAAAAAUGGCGAGCCGUCUCGUUCAUUUCCGACCGACGGCGAGACUUCGGUGGCUGUCUACAGCAACAGAAACGGCAACGGCAACGGCAACGACAGCGACAACGGCUGUGACCCAAGAUACAGCAACGGCUGUGACCAAAGACAAGCCUAAUAUCUCUCUGUUCAGGAAACUGAAGGAGCUGAAUAUUGGACCAGGCUCAGACGCUAAUGUUUCAGUGGUUCUAGAUGAAUGGGCCAAUGAAAGUCAGGCUAAACGAUUCGAUGUUGCUAGACAAAUCAAUUUUCUCCGAUUCCGCAAACAUUACCAUCUAGCCCUCCAGGUAAUUUCUUGAAUUUGGUUAUUUUCUUCUUUCUUCUUCUUUUUUUUUUUUUGUAAAAAUUGUUUCUUUAGGCAUUCCUAGAUUUGUGGAUGAAUGAAUAUGCGACACGUGAGAUUUAUGCUUUAGAUGGUUUAUUGUGCUUGUGGAGUGUAUUUAUUCAAAUCAAGUUGCUGUAUUCUUAUUGGGUGCUAAAUUGUUGUCAUGUGGUGAAAUUUUCUUUGUAAUUGAUAUUAGUAUGCAUUCUAAUCUUUUGUUUCGAUUUGAAUAAAAAAAACUUUGAUUGUUUUAUUCCUUUUCGAAUGCUUAUUAUUCUUAGACAGAUAGCGAAUGUGAUUGUGGAAAAGAGCAUUACUUUAUCAUAGGAAGAAAAGUCAUUUGUUGGGUAUGCAAGAAGUGAUUGUUUAUUUGGGUAAUAUGGUCGGGUUGGAAACAGCAUAGAUGUGCUGUUUGUUAGCAUUGACAACUAUUUGUAAAACAGGGGAGGCAUAGAAUUUGGGUAGCAGAUGAUAUGUUUAUUGAACAUUAGAUGCUCAGUUUUUGUAGGAAGCUUUUUACCCUUAUGGAAACAAAAUCUGGGAUGUAUUCUUUUAAUAUGCUUGUUGAAAAUAGGUAAAGGAUCAAGCGUGGGUUGUAUAGGAAAUUGUACCUGUAUACCAACAAUGGGGAUUGAUGAGGAAGGAACAAGUUGAAUUGUAGAUUAAAUUGUAGUUAUCUAUCAACUUCAGGAAAUAUAUAGACUUUGCAUGGACAUCUGUUGAAUUAAUAAUAUCUUUUCCUUCCUUAGAUGGCAUUUUAUUUGCUUCUGUUUGUUCUCAAACUGGAUAGUUUGGUUUGGACUUUGUAAUUGUUUUCCUUAUCUUGUUACUAAUGCAGCUAUCAGAAUGGCUGGAGAGCAGCAAGAUUGAGAUGAACAAUGCUGACCGAGCUGUGCAGAUUGACCUUCUUGCAAAAGCUAAGGGUAUUGCUUCAGCUGAAGUUUAUUUUGAUGGUCUUCAGGGAUCUGCAAAAACAAACAAAACUUAUGGAGCACUUCUUAACUGUUACUGUAAGGAGAAAAUGUUGGAUAAGGCUGUCCAACUCUUUGCCAAGAUGAAGGAGCUGAAUUUUACUUCCACUCUGAACUAUAACAAUGUGAUGUCUUUAUACUUGAGCAGUAACCAGCCCGAACAAGUCCCUCUGCUUGUGCAAGAAUUGGAGCAGAAUAAACUUAAAGCAGAUAAAUAUACUUGCAAUCUGUUGAUUAACAGCUAUGCUUCCUCAAAUGAUAUAAACGCAGCGGAGAAAGUUCUUGAAAAGAUGAAGAAAGAUAAGGUAAAGUAUGAUUGGUUCACUUAUGGGAACCUAGCAACUAUUUACGUCAAUGCUGGACUUCUUCCCAAGGCCAAAGAAAUGAUAGGAGAGAUGGAGAAAUUUGAAAAUGUGCGUGAUCGUGAGUUUUUCCAUAUGCUAAUCAACUUGUAUGAGCUUAUGUCUGACUUGGCUGGGGUUCAUCAUGUGUGGAACUCCCUCAAGUCAGUUUUCCCCUCCCCCAGUAACACUAGCUAUCUCAUCAUGCUGUUGGCUCUGUUUAAAUUGGGUGACCUGGAAAACCUGGAGAAGUAUUUUAGAGAGUGGGAAUCUCAAUGCUCAUUGUACGAUGUCAGACUAUUCAAUGUGGUCUUGGAAUCUUAUCUUAAUAGGAACAUGAUUGGGGAAGCUAAUGCUCUCUAUGAAAGUAUGGUGACCAAAGGAAUUGAUCCCACCUUAGCGACACUGAAUAUUUUCACAAUCUACCACAUUAAGAAUGAUCAGAUUGAUUCGGCUCUGAAGUAUCUGGAGAUGGGUGCAUGCAAGACAAUCCCAGAGGAACAUAGGUGGUUUCCUACAGAUGAGACUAUCAAAUUGUUUUUAGAAUAUUUUGAGAAGAAAAAUGAUGCGACUAGAGCUGAGAAGUUUUGUAACAGCAUGAAGAAGAUUGGUCGUCUUGAUUCUACCGUUUAUGCAUCUCUGCUUUCCAAAAGUUGAUGACUAGAUCACUGCAUCGAAGUAUAGAGGUGUUUCUGAUUUAAAUAUGGCAGUGAGAAGAGGCCUUGACAAUUUGAUAUUUUAUACUGGCCUAAUUCAAGUCUUGCAAGGAAUUCGAGUUUAUGUUCACAAAUGCUAUUGUGCGAAGCAAAGCUGGCCUGUACUGAAACCUAAACUAUGGUGGUGAAAAUCAAUUUUGCCAUUAAUUCAUUAUGUCGUCACAAGAUGGUCACACACUCUAGUCAUUGUGGCUUUUUGACCUUCUCCUAGACAUGCCUCAAUUGUAUCCUAUCAUUCCUUAGCCUCUAGACCAACCACUUGAUAAUAGGGUUAUAAAAUGGGUACUAAGUGAAUUUGGGAUCAAAUUUAAGUUACACUAAAUUCAACCCACUUAAAGGUAGGAUUGAUCAGUGUACACAUACACACUCUAUUACAUGCAUGUAACACACAUAACAAAAAUAAAAUAGAAUAAGAGGUAGGUUGCUUUUUUCCUUGGAUGACUAUAUAUGAAUCUAAUCUUCAUUAACUGUAUAUAAUGCAUUUUCUUUGUCCAACUAGAAAAAAAUUGCUUACUUGUAAUUUUAGUAGAUGAAGAUAUUCAAACUAAUUUCAGGACUGAAUGAAUUUUCCACAUAUUGCAUUCCGUGUAUUUUACUAUAUGUUAACAUGAAUGAUAUAGAAUUUGAAUAUGGGUCAACUUGAAUAUCAGUCAUAAGUCCAAUUUCUUCAUAAACCAAGAAUUGAGUUUGAAUUCAAGAAUAUGAUUUGUUAUGUGAGUCGAGCUCAAGCAUAUCAAAACUCAAACUUAUAAAAUCCAAUUGACAGACCUAUUUCACUUGAACAGAUAAAAUGCUCAAAUAAGAUCAGUGGAAUUCAUUAACUUGAUUGACAACAGUUCAUGAAGGACCCUUUUAUGUCCAUUUGACUGUAUUACUUUUGUCAAAAGCCAACUAUUGAGCUUAGCAAGUAUUUCGCCCCAAGUACCUGUUUUAUACCCUGAUAAGGAUUUCGCACGAAAAUUACCCUCAAUGUGCACGAUCAGGAUGUCCUCCUAAGUCCCAGGGCUUAUCCGAUUUCAUAACCAGUGUCCAAAGCUAUUUAGGUCGGUUCUUGAACUUGUCUUAAUUGAUCUGUUUAAUUGAAAUGCUUGAAACUCCAAAACUUUGGUAUAUCUAUCUCUUUGAGUAUAUGGAAUUCUUACAAUCUUCUAUUCAUCUGUUUGGCUGAGAUAACCAAAUCCAAGAGCCAAGAAACUACUAUGCCUAUUUGAAUGCUUUAUGUUAAUGCUUGAAGAGGAAAUGCACUUAUAUUUUCUAAUACAAUGAUUCCAUAAAUAUGGUUUACCCAAUGUAGUAGAUGGUAUUUCUUUUUUAUUGGCAAAACUUUGGUUUUUAGCACAAAGGAAAUUGGAGGCUUUGACAGGGAGGGCUGUAAACCACAUAAAAUGUACCAGUUGGUUGCUCUAGGGUAAGACAUGAAUCUGAAAAGUUGGAGUUCAAGUUCACCAUGGUAAGGAAGCCAGAUCAAACAAGUCCCGUGCCUGAGUCACCUACUGAAGCAAGUAAAUCAUCAACAGUGGAAGAGAAGGCAUGGAACUAUAUAUAGCUGGUAUGCCUACGCCGCCAGAGGAGAUGAAGCUCAUUUCUUCUGGGAAUGCAAGGACUAAGAAGAAACCACAGCAGUGCAUUAACAAUUCAGUGUAUGGUGGUUGCAGCAGCGGCAGCUACAAGAGGGAAUCCUCGCAUCCCAAGCUCAAGGCAAAUGGCUGAAGCCAUAACCUGGAGAUGCUUUUGGAUAAACCUGCUACUGGUAAUCAAAGCAUACCAUCCUUUUGGAUACACACGUGAGACGGAUCAAGCUUUCAGCUGGAAGCUACAACAGUAUUGUAACAAUCACCUCGAAAGGAAAGUCUGGAAUUGUUUCCUGUUUCUUGGACUGGAAUCUAAAUAGUUCGCUUGGGUUUUUCAGAUUGUGAGGUGUUAUGAAAAUAGAGAAUUUUUGAACCUAUAGUUAUACCUAAAAAGUUGCUGCUACUAUACACAAAAAAAGAAGAUACAAAACCCAUCCAAUUUUGAUACUUUGGAACUUUUAUCGAUUGUGAACAAAAUGGCUGACCAGAAACGUCCUGUUUUUCCUAUAGAAAUCAUCACUCCGUUAUUGAUCCAGCUACCUCCUAAGGUCUUGAUGAAGCUCAUGCAUCUUUCAAGAUCACAGAAGAACUUGAUCGGAGACCCUAGUUCUCUGCGGCACAAUUUGAAAUAUUCUCAGCAAAAGGUAAUGGAUAUCUCUUGUAUUUGACUACGGAGUUAUAACCCGGGGACUUUCAAGUUGAUUGACGAUAGAUCAUUCCGAUAUUUGUUUAGAUUUAAGAAUGCCAUUUUUUUUGGUCCACUCCUCUUUUUCCUUCCUCACUUCUUUAAUCUCACCUGUUUUCUAUCUUGACAAGGACUUCGCCCGAAAGUUACCCACAAUCUGCACGAUCUUAUUUACUUUCUGUCCUUCUUCCUUCUUCUUAACCAGUGUCUAAAAAUAUUUAACUUAGUUCAUGAACUUGUUUAAAUUAACAUGUUUAAGUUAAAUCCUUGAAAUUCCUUCCAUGCAAGUUGAAAAGACAAUCGCUUUAACUUAAUUGAAACCUCAAUUGCAGACUUUUUCAAGUCAAAAAAAUGGAUGAUCUUAUAUUUCCUAAGAGGUAAUUAGUGAAACUAAAGCAGUCUCUUUCCGUAAUAUACAGCUGAUUCUUGAAAGAACCUAGUAAUUACUCCUAUACUAGGAAAGAAAUGGUAUUGGCAAUGUCUAAUCAUAUUGAGAAUUUCAAAUGAUCUGUCAUGUCAAUGGAAAGAAAUAUUUGCUUCAUCAAUCAUGCUGCAUUUCAUAAAUAAAAAACAAAAGGAGCAUUUGCCAAACAAAUUUAAACUUUAGAUUGGGAUAUCUUCGUCUUCUAAUUCUUUAGUUGUCCAAAUUGCUUCAUGAACUUCAAAAUUGUCCUUAAACUUUAGAUUGGGAUAUCUUAUUCCUAAAAUGCAAAAGCUUCUGCCAUUUUAGCCCUUCUCAUAAGAUAAUCAUUACAUUAAAAACUUACUUAAACAAGUAAACUAUGAUUGAAAAUAAUAGAAAUGCUAUUCUCUUUAUCGUGAAAGGACCUUAUGCUACAAGUAAAAUACAACGUGAUAAAGUCAUGACAAUAGAUAGGGAAGCUUCAAUGAGUACCAAAAUGUUGCCUAAUCUUGUGAUCCUGUGAUCUCUUGGCCUAAAAUUUAAUAUCCGUGUUACUAUAACAAGUUACAUAUUUAGUUAACGGUCAUAGUAAAAGCAAAUAAUCUUCAAUCAGUCAAAUGAGUGCCAUCGUGAAUUAAUAGACAUACAUCAACUUAUCUAGGGAUUUUUUUGGGAACAGCAUCAUUUACACAUCUAAAAAAUAAGCACCCAUAUUCUUUAGGGUAUGAUCUCAACUGUAUAUGGUUUUCGAAGUCACAUGGUCAAGCCUGACAAGGUCACAACCAAAUUCCAUCUUACCUGCGGAUUGAGAUAUAAAUUGGGAUUUUGAAUCUUGAAUCUUCUUCAAAUAAUCUGUCGUGAAUUAGAUUGAAAGACAUAUUCAUUUUCUUAAAAGAAAAAAGCAGUAAACUGAACUUAUAACCUGUCAUGGGUCUAUCACAUCACAGGGAAGGAAUGUUGCAACACCAAACAGUGAAAAUGUCUCCAAUGAAACAUCAUAAUAAAAAAUCCCUUCAACUCUACAAAAAUUUUGACACAAACUUUCAAAUAUAGAAGUACUGUGGCACUUUCUUGAAACCUUUCUAUGUUUUGCACAAACUCAAUAGCCAUGCCAAGAAACAUCAUGAUUUGCACGCACCAUGUUUCAAGUUUGAGAUCGCUCCUAUCCUGGAACCCAAACUCAGCAACUGAUUGAAUUCCUCUUAAGUAGCCAUCUUGUCUUGUCAGGGGAUCCCUUGUAGAUCCAUCAUCUUUCAAUGUCACCAAACCAUCAAGCAUGACCUGCGCAGAGGCAUACAGAGUUGUGAACGGAUGAACAGUCAAGUAAUAACUAUACGAUUUGAGCUCCUCAAAUCGAGAGUAACGUUCUCUUUGCGAUCCCUUGACGUAUAUAUAUACAAGAUGAAACCGAAUCUUCUGAAUCUAAAUACAUUGAAUUUUGGUCUACAAUGCUUGGGGAAUGACCAAAUUCUCCACACUUAAGAUGAAAACGAGAAUUGGACGAGAAGUUUAGGAGGAAUUAAGUAACUAGAGAAUAGUAAAGCUGGUCUGCAACAUAAAACACGGAUUUUGCCACAUCCUCUGAUAUUGCAUCAGACUUGAACUUUGCAUCUUUCGUUGUCUUUAUGGCCCCAAUCAAUUAAAUGGAUGCAAAUCAUGCAACGAUGUGGAGGCCAGUGUAUAGUGUAUAAUCCGUUAUAAUCUUACAUGUAUGCAUAAACGGGUGUAUAGCAUGAAUCUUUCACACCUAAACACCUGUUUAUGCACACUGGUGUGAUUAAUUAGCCUUCUCAAGUGGGAAAACUAAUUAACAUAAUACAUAGGGCUCUGAAAUCCUUGCCAACUUAGAGUAGGAGUACGCCUAGAGUGCUAGUGAUGCUUAAAUGCAAUUAGAUGACGGGUUUUAUUUAAUCAGAUUUUUAAACGAUUGCAGUUAUUCUUGGUGCUUUAUGCAUAAAUGGAGAAACCUCAUUCAUUGCUUUUGGAUAUCUUAUCACUCAUAGAAAAGUAUACAUGAUAGAGUAGAAAAACAAAAUUCUCUGCUUAGCGAUGAUUUGAUUUAUUAAACCAAUUGAACAUGUAUACUGGGGUCAAUUUCGAAAGAUUUUGCACUUCGCACUUGUAAACGAUAUUAGAUUCUCAAAUAAUCACACAAAUUAAGACGUUUGAUACUUGGCAUGCUACUAGUCAGCUAGUUAUAGGCUAGAAUAUGACGGUUUAUCAUAUUUUCAUUUUGCCACUUAAAAUGAUCAAAGCGAUUGUGAUGAUGAUGAGCGUUGAGGGAAGUGAAAGUGAAAGUGACAUUAAUUAUCAUUUUGAUUCAAAGCUGUGUCCUUCCAAGCUUGAGAUAUAUAACGAUCUAAGGGGUAGGAAGCAUUUUCUUUUCUGCGGAAAGAAGGGUGGAAGUGACUGAAACAGGAGCAAUAUAAAGAUUGGGACAUCCAGGGAAUGCAGCACAGGAGAAGGGAAUUAAAGGGAGUGGUGACUGAGAAUCUUGUUGAUCCUCCUGAUACAUGCAUGUUCUUGCCUCAAUCUUGAUGAUCAUCCUGAUAUAUGCAUGCUCUUACCUCAGAAUCCUCUAGCUCUGAAGAGGGUAAUGAUGAUUCUGAUGAUAACUACGACAAUAACUAGGAAGAACCAGGGAGCUCUGUUAUCACUUUUAUGGGCCCAUAAAUAUCAAACAACAAAAAUAAUUUAUCAAGCAAGAAAGCACAAAACGAAAAAUGGAGUCUAUCAAAAUGCAGCGGCUACAACUUACUAAAGAAAUGGAGACAGUGCCUUUAGUCACUAUUUCGACAUUUUGAUGAAUGGCUGACUGUGUAUUUCUUAAUUGAAGAAUUACGUAGGUAUACAACUUUCUGUAUAUUCUUUUUUCUUUACAAGUCUUAAAAAUAUAUUGUUCUAUGUCUUUUUCCAAAAUAAAUUGUAAUUUUCUUUUCAAUUUGUCAUUUUAUGGGGAUAAAAAGUUCCAAAUUCAUAAUGGUCUCUUUUUUCUUUUUCUUUUUUUAUAAGCCCUAACGGCCUUGUUUUGAUUUGGUUCAGAAUUUGGGAACCUACUAUCUUUUUAUAGUUAAAAAAGAGUAUAAAACUAAGUCACUUUAUGAGCCUUGACAGUAGAUAUUAACAUUUGUUGAAAAAAACAUAUGAGUCUUGAUAGUAUUAUGCUUCUUUUAAAUAAAAAAAAAGGGAAAAACAAUGGCACAAAGUUGGGCACACUUUUGUUCUUAGUUUUACACAAAUGAAUUAUUAGAUUUUUAAACUUAUGUUGUAAAAAAAAUGUAAUGAGAAAAAUAGAGAUGAAGCUGAAACGCAAAUAGUCAAACUCUCAUUCCACAUUUGUUGAUCUAUUUGAAAUGGUCUUUUUUAUCAUUUGCAAAAUUCUUUUCUUACCAGAAGUUUCCCAAACCUAAAGACACCACCUCUUAAAUACUAAAAUUCAUUAAUUAUAGUAACGUUAUUCACAUUAACGAGUGCCCAUUGAACAUCCGUUAGCCGGACCAAUUAACAAAUAUGUGAAAUGAGGCUUUCAUAGAUUUAAUGACAAUAGUCAGGAGCCAAAAAAAAUUUUAAUAGCGAUAAAGAUGAGAAGCUAUCCGAGGCUUUAAUGAAUUUACAGACACUAGUCAGCAACCAGAAUCUUAUCCCCUUUUCUCGACUGUACUUCUCGGAUGAGUAGCUCACCCUCAAGUAUUUUUAUCUCUCUUUUUCGAGAAGAAAAUAUUAAAAAGAUAGGUUUUCUUAAGCAAACAUUAAUCUUCUUUACAAACAGUGUAACCUAUGCUCCAACAAGUAUUGCAUGGUGGGAAAGGUUUUGGUCUGUAAUCUGCGGAUUAUCAUGAGGUGCACAGAUGUUGCACCUUGCCUGAGCUAUAAUGGUCUUAACAUGAUAAAUGUAUUCUUGAGCAUUUUAAUUAAUCUUUAUAAAUCUUAAUUUAAGAAUAUAGAGAUGCGAUGCGUAGUUGUCAAUUCUAAUUCUUGAACAAUUUUGUUAAGCCUGUUGUUACAUCAGUUUCCCUCAUUUUCUAAGACAUUUCCAUAUCAGAAACUGAAAAAAAAAAAAACUUGUUUUUUAGCUACCCAAAUAUAAACAUGUUUUUUUUAAUUAAUGAAUUCUGCGUAUUUAAUUCCUACUGUUGAGUGUUAUCCAAUACUGCUACUAAAUAUUCAUACAUCAACAUAUGCAUAUCUCUAAUUACAACUAGUAUUUUGAUAUAAUUAAGCAUAUAACUAUGAAGAAAAUUGAUUAUAUAUUUGUAAGGUCUGCUGCUUCUGUUGGCCGACUUGGUGGCCACGAGAACUCUCAUUUUCAUCCAAGUCUGGCGACGUACCCCAUUUUGCAUGGGGGCAAUCCGCCAUCUCCAUUGAUGGAAGUUGUUUUAGCCAGUAGAUCGAGGAGGACCAUAUUGGGCUCCUCGCCAGGAGCUGAACCUAGCUGGACCAGAGCCAUCGGUGUUCAAUCAGGGCAUAGACUGCACUACUUCUGCUGAUCAUGUGGAGCUUAACAUAGAGCAGCUGCCGCCUCUUUUUCCCUCUAUAUUACCUGGCGACUGCAAUGCAUUAAUACUUCAUCAUGAAACUUAAAAGGCAGCGAACCAGAAAAUUUUUCUUCAUCUUAAUUUCUCUACACUUUGAACCUAGUUCAUUUUAGUAUACAGAACUAUUGUUUAGUUGUAAUAUAUUUGGUUUCAAUUUCUCUCAACAAGAAAUUCUAGCCGAGAUUAAGGGCGGAGAGUAGAUGAAUUUAGUUCAAGAUCUGAAGUGAAUGCUCUCUUAGAAUUCAAGCUCCAAUAUUGAAAACUGAAUAUUCAAGAUUGUGUUGUCUAAACAUCUCACUUUCAUUCGUCAAAGUGAUGAAAUGUGCACUUCUAAGCAAUUUAGGGCACUUCUAAGCUCUAGAUGAUGAAAUGUGCAAAUCUCAACAAUUUAGGGCACUUCUAAGCUCUAGAUGAUGAAAUGUGCAACCUUCGUGAAAAAUAUAGAUUCAAUUUAAUUAUUCUAAAAGAAAAAGUAAAAAAAAAAAUCCAUGGCCUAGUUAUUUCCAAAACAGAAAUUAAAAAUUUUUACUUAGACUAUAGACUAGUGCAUUCACAAUGCACCCCAAAAUGGAUGUUUAACUAGCUAAUAUGGCAUGUAUUUCAAUAUAUGAUAUGUUAAGAAAGUAAAUACACCAUUAAAGUCCAUAUUUGCAUGUACAUUUUUAUAUGACAAUGUAAACAUUACACACUCAAGAGUCCACGAAUAUGUCUAGCUGAAUACAUCCCAUCCCAGAAGGUCCUUCUCUGAAACCUUGAGAGCUGAUAGUAGUAGUAUCAGUACCUAAAAAUUCCAGCCACCCCAGAAGCCGAAAUUGUAAUUUCCUCGUGUUAAAUUUAUUGACUUGAUUUGGACUUGCUUGGUUUAGAUUAUGAAAGUCUAGACUGAACUGUUGUCCAAUUGGGCUAUAAAUAUUGUAAUCAAUGUCUUUUUGGAUUUCACUAAAUUCCUUUUUGCACUAUCUAUGACAUCAAAUUCAACUUCUACAAAAGAAGAACUUGCGAAUAAUGGUUUUUAGGUUUGUAAUCCUGGGAUUAUGAGGUGCACACAUGUUGCACCAUGCCUGGCGCUAUACUGGUAUAGCAUUGAGUUUUCACUUUGACACAAGGUAAUAUGUGCAUUAAUCUUCUUACCAUCUCUAUCUGUCGAAAGGAUCAUCUAACCUGGAUUACUGCUUUUAGAUGAACUCUUAAUUUUGCAUUAUGAAUAUCGUGUUAAGAAUCUAGGCCAAAGUUCAAUUUCUGAUUAACUCUUUUUUGGUAGCUAAUUAAUGUCAUCUAAGAAAACAUCAUUAUAUUUAUAGAGUGAUUUUGCCAUUAGACAAAUAUUUGGAAAAAUAAAAAUUUAAGAUGAGACUACUCUAUCAAGGGUUUACUCGUCGUUUUAAUCUAUAGGUCUAAUAUUUUGUUCUACUAAGGUUUGCCUGCUAUCUAGGCCAAGGUUUGAUUGAAAUGAAUUCUGGGCAAUAGCUCAUUUAUGGAAAAUAAUAUGAUAUCAGCAAUCCUUCUUAUAUGUAGAGAGUGUUUUUCUUUUUCCCAUUAACCAAAUAUCUGUCAAAUUUCUUUAACUGGAGACUAGUCUAUCAAGGACGGACUUAUCGUUUAAAACAAUAGGAUCAACUUGCACCAACUGUGAAAUCCACCAUACCUAACCAGCUUAAAAAUUAUUCAAACCUUAUAAAUUUUAACAGAUUUCAGUAUCAAUUAUACGUUGCUUAACGUAUCGUUAUACCUAGGAAUUGGGCAGGUUGGACGGGUUGAUAUUGGAUUUUCACUUAAAUGGGCUACACUCAACCCGUCCAACUUUAAAUUGGGUUGAUUUUGGGUUGAAUUAUAUUGGAUCAUCUCAAACUCAUGAUCUAACAUAUUAAUUAAUACAUUUUGAUAUAUAAACUUUUUUACAUACAUUUUAACACGUAAAAAGAUUUUUUUUCCACACAUAAACAUAUUUUCACAUACAUAAAUGUAUUUUCACACACACACACACACUUCUUAAGCUUCUUAGAAAUACGUCAUAAAUAGAAUAAUAUUUUAUAUUCCUUGUAUUAUGAAUUUUAGAUAAUAAAUUGUACAUUGAAAUAGAUUAGCUAAAAAAUUUUGUUUACUUUAUACUUUUUAAUACGACUAAUUGAUUGAAAUUAUUUUUUAUCACUAUUAACACUUUUACUACUCAUAUAUGCUUUAUUGUAAGUUAUAAUAUUCUAUAUAUUUAAAUAAUUGAAUGCUAGAUUAUAUAAUGCUUGAAAAUAUAAUUAAAAGACAUAUCAUAUGUUGUAUUAUAAUAUUGGUGAGGAAUUAUUAACAAUGAAAUAAAACAAAUUAGAGAAAGUAAAAGAAUGCAAUUAGAAUAGGUUUAACUCUAUUCCACGUACACGAAAUAUUAACAAACAGAAAUAUUAACAAACAGAAGCAGAACCACCAGGUAAUUGAUUACAUAAUACAAGAGCAAAAGAGAUACAAAACUAGUCCCAAUUUCAUACUUUAAAACUUGAGUGAAGUGUCAAGCCUUCAUUAUACACAGGAAUAAUGCAAUCUUUAAGUGCCUAAGAAACUAGCUUAAUAGAAGUGCAUGAAGUAUUACAACUAUAUGAUCCCAUGAAGCUAGUAACAAGGCUGUUAGGCCAAUCACUUCCUCGAACGAAAACAACACAGGCCAUUGCGUACUCCGAUGUCCCGUUGCCGCCUUCUUGCACGCACGGGAUUGCUUACUCUGAUGUCCCUUUGCCUUUUUCCACACUCGCACGGGUUAUGGCUGUCAGGCUUUGCAAGUUCUUGCCUCGCCUAAGCUUUUCAAAAGUAACCCAUCUAACGAGGCAAGGGACCCGAUAAAAUAAAAGCCAUUAGCUGAAUCCCCAACUCUUAAAAAGGCAGAAAUUGUGCGCAUGAAUGGAGCCCCAUCCACCCACAAAUCCACCAAAAGAAACAAGCGGAAGAGCAACAGAUGAUGUGAUUUCCCAGAUCACAAAACAUUAAGACAUAAUAUAUUGUGAUUUACUAUAGGAAGACCUGGAGAAGAACCAUAUUUAAUAAUGACCAAUACCAUCACAUAAGAUCAGCUUUCCCUCCUCCUCUUGCCCGGGCUUGGGACCGGCUGUCUGUGGAGACAGGCGGAGUUACAAAGCAUCCUACCAAACAAAACAGCACAAGCAUACAGACAGGGGGAAUCUCCAAUAGAGAACAAUAGAGGACAGAUGCAUCUCCAAUAAAACCAAAAAAAACAAAAAAAAUCCAACUCAUACGCAGCAGUGUCCAAAAAAGCAACAGGCAGAGGGAAUCUUCAAGUUAUCCCCACCAAAAGGCAAGCUACAAACGUCUCACAAAUAGCAAAAUAAACUUGCAACAAUCUGCACCAGAGUACAAGAGAACUCUACGAAUAGCACACCAAACAUAUUACCAAAAUUACCACACUUACUUUGUUUACUUGUUUUUAUACCAAGGCUCACCUUCUGCAUACUUAACCUAUAAAUCAACUAAAUUUUCAUCAAGUUAGGGGGCUCAACCACUGUGUGAAACAAAUGUGAUGCUACAGUUAAUUUUCUAUAGCAUUCAAGGUACCAAAAAGAAUUAGGAAAGGUCUAAAGAAAAGCUCCGGUGAAGAGAAUCGGAUAUCAAAACAGAUUUACAUACAAAAAAAUAAAAAUAAAAAUUUUGAAAAUUUUGAAAAAAAUUAUGAUGCUAAAGGCUGAUAAAAGAUCAAAUAUUAUAUAGUGCAAGUAUCCAACAAAUAGACCCUACUUAUGGGACUUAAAAAGUCACACAAAUCACAGGGGCUUAAGCUACACAGGUAAAUCAUACAGAAAAUGACAAGUUGCCCUAGAAAACAGGAACUCUUUCAUUUCUUAAAUCCACCGAAAUCAACCUCAAAAGUAGUACGCACUUCAAAUAAAUUAAUGAUUUUCAAGACUUGUACACAAGGGCAUUUGGAUUCCUCUCAAUCUGUCAAUCAUUUAUGAUUGGUUCUAUGAACACAAUACACCUGUGCCAGGGCCUGUUAAGAUGCAACCACCUUCCCGAAACCACAACGCAUACAACUAUUGCAGAUCUUAGAUUGGACCUCUUGAUGCCACACCAUAACUGUUAAAAGGCCACAAGCAAAUAUUGUCCAAUAAACCCAAGGAUAACAAAAUUCAAUUACAUGCACUUUAAAGUUGCAUACUAAACCUAUGUACCAGAGGAUCACAAAAUUCAAGUAUGAAAUGAAAUUCACAAACAAUACCAGUACCAGUGGUAUGUAAGUUGAUGAUUACGAAGACAGAUAUUGCACGCAUCUGUUCUUACACGACUGCACAAUACCAGAACUGGUACCAGUUGUAUGCAAGUCAACGACUGUGAAAACAGAUAUUGCAUGCAUCUGUUCUAACAUGACUGAACCAGCAUCCGCUUAUGAAGUGAGAAUAACCACGACACAGUUUUCUUCCACUCAAUUGCAGAUAACGAAGGCCAGCAGCGAGUACUCAAUGGUGAUGGAGAACAGUUAAAGUUGCUGCAUAAUAACGGACAAACCAGUUCAAACAUACAAAAAGCCCAAGAAAGGAUAGGAGGCAAGAAAUACACCCCCAACUUGACCAUGACCAUGAACUUGAUAAUCCAUACUGAGUUACAUCUUAGGCCGCACCCCAUAGUAUAUCAGAAGUUUCUUUCCACAUUCAAACAUCAAAGUCAUCAAAUCAAAUUCCAUGUAGACUAGAAAGCGCUUCAUCUUUUCCAUCCAUCACUUAAAAGGAGAAACAGAAACAGAAAUCCCAAUUUCUGGACAUUGAACUCAAGAACUGGUUGAGGUAAAGAUCUUAAAUUCACUGGAAUAAGCAUGCUCGCUACAGAAUAUACAAUACUCUGCUAAAUACAACCAUAACUCCAGAUAACGCUCAUACUGUCAAAGCAGAAUCUGCAAACUUCAUAGUAUAUUAACACCACCAUCAUGAAUAAACCUGGACAAACAAAAUGACACUACGGUUAAGCUCAGACAUAUCCAUUACACAUGAUCAGGAUAAGAAACCUCUGCAUCUGUUUUGAUUUCAUGUUGAUUGGUAGUAUGCAACUAGGAUGACUGUGCACAAGCUAGGUAGAAUGGGUUAGUAAUGCAGAAAUUCAGGCUUGAAAACACAGAUCUGACUUCAACUCCCAGCCCUUCCUGAAAUUGAAUGCCGUAAUUUAAUUUUAAAAACUACGUAGUGCUGUACAAAGAAAACCACACGCCGAUGAGAGAAGAAACUCCUUUGGAAUCAUGCAGACCACAAUACCAGGUAACAAAAUGACCAGAGAUUCUUAAAUUCAAGCUCCCUCCCUCAAAUGGUAAGAGUAGGUAAGAAGACAAACGCCCUCCAAAACAAUGUACUAGCCUUUGAUCUGAGGAUAGAGACCUUAAAGUUUUCACACCUCCAAAUCACUGGAAUCCUAGACUCAACACAAUAAUAUACCAAAUUAAGAACAAGUAGAGAAAAUCAUUUUUCAAGAAAAUGAACCCAAAAAAAAAUUAAAAAAGAGUAGGGAAAGAAAGAGCAAAUCCAAAAUCUUAUCACAACCGAGAAGCAGGAUGAUACUCCCAGUUCAAGCUUCCCUAAAAUCAAGACAACAGAUAAAAGUUCACCAAAUAUCCCCAGUGAAUUUUUCAAGGAAAGAGAGCAAAGAAAGACCAUGUUGCCAAGAAAAGCCCCCAAUUUAAUUCACAUCUAUCCAAAAGGAAGCUCUUCUUGCCUCCACACACCAGAAGUCCACUAUUCUUGAAAGACGACAUCAAAAGAACCAGAGAGGAAACACAGAUCUUGAAACAUCACCAUGAUCGAAACAAACAGCAAUCAACUGCCUACAGCAAUGCAACAGUGAUACAGAAGCAAAACUCCAGAUAAUGGAUCACGUUCACAGCCAUCCAAUCAGUCUUAAGAAUCAUCACAUCCAAAAGCCCAUAUUCAGUCACCACCCUCAGUAGAAUUCUGCAAGUGUGUGAAAACAUAAACAACCAACAGAGACUGAACUUGGCACAAAGCUGAAAUAAAAAUUGUAGAUCAUCUACCAUAUUAUCAAAACCAAACCAAUAUAUGUAGCAUUUAUUCUUCAGACCAUGAUGAAUCAGCGACACAAAAACCCUGCCUAUACAAACAUGUUAGAUAAAAGAAUUUAAUUCCCGUUAGAUACCAAGCACCGCAGAGCCAUCACCCAAAGAGAGGUCCUGGACUAAGCUAAUCCAUCAAGAGCCAGGAAAAGAACAACUGGGUAUGAUAACUUUAGGUGAAUUGACUGGGCAGAUUAAAAGUGAUUCAUACAGUCCAGAACUAAACAAAGUUGAGAAUUAGCAGAGAUAUACGCUUGAUUAUGCCCCCGUCUAUUUCUCAUGAAUCAGGAAAGUCAACUCUGCAGAAAUUACUGCCAGACCAAAUAACGGACAGAAUAAGAAAAUCAGAAAUAUUACAAAUAAGAUGUCAAAACCCCUAAUUCCUCAUGCACAAACGAUACAGACAGAGCAAAUCUACCAUCCAGAGAUCUCUCAUUGAUUUGAAGGAAACAACAGAGAACAAGUAGGGGAGCAGCUUUCUCCGAAAUCUUGUAGACCAGAAUAGCAGGGUAACAAACAUGACAAGAAUGUUUUGAUCCAAGCUAUCCUAAAAUGAAGACAACAGCGAGAUGCCAUUACCAACAAACACCAGUGAUUUUUAGGCAAAAGGAACAAACAAGAAAACUCCUGGUCUACCACGUCAAUCCAUAGCUCUUUUUGCCUCCAUAUGUAGAACUCCACCAUUCUA
rnacentral:lncRNA from 1 species